GAGUUUGAUUCUGGCUCAGGACGAACGCUGGCGGCGUGCCUAAUACAUGCAAGUCGAACGAACGGAAGUUAGAACUUGUUCUAAUGGAAGUGAGUGGCGAACGGGUGAGUAACACGUGGGUAACCUACCUUUAAGCGGGGGAUAACAGUGGGAAACGACUGCUAAUACCGCAUAGGACAUAGCGUCACACGACGCAGUGAGGAAAGACGGUUUCGGCUGUCACUUAGAGAUGGACCCGCGGUGCAUUAGCUAGUUGGUAAGGUAACGGCUUACCAAGGCGAUGAUGCAUAGCCGACCUGAGAGGGUGAUCGGCCACAUUGGGACUGAGACACGGCCCAAACUCCUACGGGAGGCAGCAGUAGGGAAUCUUCCGCAAUGGACGAAAGUCUGACGGAGCAACGCCGCGUGAGUGAAGAAGGUCUUCGGAUCGUAAAGCUCUGUUGUUAGAGAAGAAGAGUUAUGGGAGUAACUGCCCAUAAAGUGACG
rnacentral:rRNA from 1 species